ACGUAGGGAGCAAGCGUUGUCCGGAAUUACUGGGCGUAAAGGGCGCGUAGGCGGGAACUCAAGUCAGGUGUGAAAACUAUGGGCUUAACCCAUAGACUGCACUUGAAACUGGGUUUCUUGAGGGCAGGAGAGGAAAGUGGAAUUCCUAGUGUAGCGGUGAAAUGCGUAGAUAUUAGGAGGAACACCAGUGGCGAAGGCGACUUUCUGGACUGUACCUGACGCUGAGGCGCGAAAGCGUGGGGAGCGAACAG
rnacentral:rRNA from 1 species